rnacentral:rRNA from 1 species
CCUACGGGAGUCAGCAGUGAGGAAUAUUGGUCAAUGGGCGAGAGCCUGAACCAGCCAAGUCGCGUGACGGAUGACGGCCCUACGGGUUGUAAACUUCUUUUGUCAGGGAGCAAUUGAGGCCACGUGUGGGCUUAGCGAGAGUACCUGAAGAAAAAGCAUCGGCUAACUCCGUGCCAGCAGCCGCGGUAAUACGGAGGAUGCGAGCGUUAUCCGGAUUGAUUGGGUUGUAAGGGUGCGUAGGCGGAAUAUCAAGUCACCGGUAAAACUUCGGGGCUCAACCCCGUCGUGCCGUGGAAACUGAUGUUCUUGAGUGGGCGAGAAGUAUGCGGAAUGCGUGGUGUAGCGGUGAAAUGCAUAGAUAUCACGCAGAACUCCGGUUGCGAAGGAAGCAUACCGGCGCCUAACUGACGCCGAAGCACGAAAGCGUGGGUAUCGAACAGGAUUAGAUACCCGGGUAGUC